rnacentral:rRNA from 1 species
CUACGGGAUGCACCAGUGAGGAAUAUUGGGCAAUGGACGCAAGUCUGACCCAGCCAUCCCGCGUGCAGGAUGACAGCCCUAUGGGUUGUAAACUGCUUUUAUACUCCACGAAACCCAUGUUCGUGAACAUGGCUGACUGUAGAGUAAGAAUAAGCAUCGGCUAACUCCGUGCCAGCAGCCGCGGUAAUACGGAGGAUGCAGGCGUUAUCCGGAUUUAUUGGGUUUAAAGGGUGCGUAGGCGGAAAUGUAAGUCAGUGGUGAAAUCCUACAGCUUAACUGUAGAACUGCCAUUGAUACUGUAUUUCUUGAGUAUAUUUGAGGUAGGCGGAACGUGUCAUGUAGCGGUGAAAUGCUUAGAUAUGACACAGAACACCGAUUGCGUAGGCAGCUUACUAAACUAUUACUGACGCUGAGGCACGAAAGCGUGGGGAGCAAACAGGAUUAGAUACCCCUGUAGUC